UACGAAGGGGGCUAGCGUUGCUCGGAAUUACUGGGCGUAAAGCGCACGUAGGCGGCUUCUUAAGUCGGGUGGUGAAAUCCUGGAGCUCAACUCCAGAACUGCCUUCGAUACUGGGAAGCUCGAGUCCGGGAGAGGUGAGUGGAACUGCGAGUGUAGAGGUGAAAUUCGUAGAUAUUCGCAAGAACACCGGUGGCGAAGGCGGCGUUCUGGACUGCAACUGACACUGAAAAACAAAGCCAGGGGAGCAAACGGG
rnacentral:rRNA from 1 species